UUUUUGGAAAUAAUUUAAAGUCUAAUCUGCCCACUGAUAAAUAUAUUAAAGGGCUGCAGUAUUUUGACUGUACAAAGGUAGCAUAAUCAUUAGUCUCUUAAUUGGUGACUUGUAUGAAAGAUUGGAAGAAAUAUAAACUGUCUCUAAUUAAUUUAUAAAAUUUAAUUUUUUAGUAAAAAAGCUAAAAUAAUUUUAAAAGACGAGAAGACCCUAUAGAGUUUUAUAAUUUAUUUGAUUAUUAUUAAUAUGUAAAUUUUAAAAUUAAAAUUAAAUAAAUUAUUUUGUUGGGGUGACAGAAAAAUUAAAUUAACUUUUUUAAAUAAUUAACAUUAAUUUAUGAAUAAAUGAUCCAUUAAUAUUGAUUAAAAGAAAAAAUUACCUUAGGGAUAACAGCGUAAUUUUUUUUUUUAGUUCAAAUAGGAAAAAAAGUUUGCGACCUCGAUGUUGGAUUAAGAUAAAAUUUAAAUG
rnacentral:rRNA from 1 species